AUUUUUCCAGUUUGCCUUCCUGAGGUGUCUUAAGGCCUUUUGAGUUAAGGGCUGCUGUUCUGACCUCCAAGCAGCUCCUGGAAAGGACAGCUCAGCCUUGGCAUGGGGGAUGUUGGGUGGCUCAGUGCUUUCAGCUCUGCUGGGACACCUGAGCAUCUGCAAGGCUUCAAGGUUGGAACUGUGCUCCAAAACAAAGGUUAUUCCAGUCUACAGAAAAGCACAAUAAAGAGAGACAUGGUACUGGUUUGCCUGGUGUUGAGAGUGCGGGAGGAAUUGUGAUAAAAGAAGAAAUAAGGAAUCAAGCCAGCCACUAGAAAUGAAACUCCCCAAUUUUCAUUCCAAAUUCCCCCGAGCCAACUUCCCACUGUGGCACUUCUCCAAGACACAGAGAAGUGGAGUUGUUCUAUCUUGGGAAAACCAAGAAAAUAUAUCUUCUUGUGAACAGGUUCUCCCAGAAGAGAAACCUGCAUCUUUACACCACUGCAAAAACAACUCCAUUUUUGGUGAAGCUGGGUUCUCACCAAGAAGCUAACUGACCCAGAGAAAUAAACAGUUCAUGCAGGCUCUGGUGUUGAACAAAAGUGCCAGCAUUCUUUCAUUUUACAAA